rnacentral:rRNA from 1 species
ACGAGUGGCGGACGGGUGAGUAAUGCUUGGGAACUUGCCUUUGCGAGGGGGAUAACAGUUGGAAACGACUGCUAAUACCGCAUAAUGUCUACGGACCAAACGGGGCUUAGGCUCCGGCGCAAAGAGAGGCCCAAGUGAGAUUAGCUAGAUGGUGAGGUAAAGGCUCACCAUGGCAACGAUCUCUAGCUGUUCUGAGAGGAAGAUCAGCCACACUGGGACUGAGACACGGCCCAGACUCCUACGGGAGGCAGCAGUGGGGAAUAUUGCACAAUGGGGGAAACCCUGAUGCAGCCAUGCCGCGUGUGUGAAGAAGGCCUUCGGGUUGUAAAGCACUUUCAGUUGUGAGGAAAGGGUGUUGGUUAAUACCCAAUAUCUGUGACGUUAACAACAGAAGAAGCACCGGCUAACUCCGUGCCAGCAGCCGCGGUAAUACGGAGGGUGCGAGCGUUAAUCGGAAUUACUGGGCGUAAAGCGCACGCAGGCGGUUUGUUAAGCUAGAUGUGAAAGCCCCGGGCUCAACCUGGGACGGUCAUUUAGAACUGGCAGACUAGAGUCUUGGAGAGGGGAGUGGAAUUCCAGGUGUAGCGGUGAAAUGCGUAGAUAUCUGGAGGAACAUCAGUGGCGAAGGCGACUCCCUGGCCGAAGACUGACGCUCAUGUGCGAAAGUGUGGGUAGCGAACAGGAUUAGAUACCCUGGUAGUCCACACCGUAAACGCUGUCUACUAGCUGUGUGUGAAUUUAAUUCGUGCGUAGCGAAGCUAACGCGCUAAGUAGACCGCCUGGGGAGUACGGCCGCAAGGUGAAAACUCAAAUGAAUUGACAGGGGCCCGCACAAGCGGUG